GACGAACGCUGGCGGCGUGCUUAACACAUGCAAGUCGAACGGAAAGGCCCUGCUUUUGUGGGGUGCUCGAGUGGCGAACGGGUGCGUAACACGUGAGUAACCUGCCCUUGACUUUGGGAUAACUUCAGGAAACUGGGGCUAAUACCGGAUAGGAGCUCCUGCUGCAUGGUGGGGGUUGGAAAGUUUCGGCGGUUGGGGAUGGACUCGCGGCUUAUCAGCUUGUUGGUGGGGUAGUGGCUUACCAAGUCUUUGACGGGUAGCCGGCCUGAGAGGGUGACCGGCGACAUUGGGACUGAGAUACGGACCAGACUGCUACGGGAGGCAGCAGUGGGGAAUAUUGCACAAUGGGAGGAAGCCUGAUGCAGCGACGCCGCGUGUGGGAAGACGGCCUUCGGGUUGUAAACCGCUUUCGCCUGAGACGAAGCGUGAGUGACGGUAAUGAAUAAAUAAGCACCGGCUAACUACGUG
rnacentral:rRNA from 1 species